UUUAUUCACUAGGGGGGCCAUUCGGCUGAGAGAAGCGUUGCUUUAACCCUUUGAACCUGAUCUGGUUCGUACCAGCGUAGGAAAGUGAAGCUUGUUACGA
rnacentral:ncRNA from 2 species